rnacentral:rRNA from 1 species
AAGAUUAAGCCAUGCAUGUCUAAGUAUAAGCAAUUAUACCGUGAAACUGCGAAUGGCUCAUUAAAUCAGUUAUCGUUUAUUUGAUAGUACCUUACUACUUGGAUAACCGUGGUAAUUCUAGAGCUAAUACAUGCUAAAAACCCCGACUUCGGAAGGGGUGUAUUUAUUAGAUAAAAAACCAACGCCCUUCGGGGCUUCUUGGUGAUUCAUGAUAACUUUACGGAUCGCAUGGCCUUGCGCCGGCGACGGUUCAUUCAAAUUUCUGCCCUAUCAACUUUCGAUGGUAAGGUAUUGGCUUACCAUGGUUUCAACGGGUAACGGGGAAUUAGGGUUCGAUUCCGGAGAGGGAGCCUGAGAAACGGCUACCACAUCCAAGGAAGGCAGCAGGCGCGCAAAUUACCCAAUCCCGACACGGGGAGGUAGUGACAAUAAAUACUGAUACAGGGCUCUUUUGGGUCUUGUAAUUGGAAUGAGUACAAUUUAAACCUCUUAACGAGGAACAAUUGGAGGGCAAGUCUGGUGCCAGCAGCCGCGGUAAUUCCAGCUCCAAUAGCGUAUAUUAAAGUUGUUGCAGUUAAAAAGCUCGUAGUUGAAACUUGGGUCUGGCUGGCAGGUCCGCCUCACCGCGUGUACUUGUCCGGCCGGGCCUUCCUUCUGGAGAACCUCAUGCCCUUCACUGGGCGUGUUGGGGACCAGGACUUUUACUUUGAAAAAAUUAGAGUGUUCAAAGCAGGCCUUUGCUCGAAUACGUUAGCAUGGAAUAAUAGAAUAGGACGUGCGGUCCUAUUUUGUUGGUUUCUAGGACCGCCGUAAUGAUUAAUAGGGACAGUCGGGGGCAUCAGUAUUCAAUUGUCAGAGGUGAAAUUCUUGGAUUUAUUGAAGACUAACUACUGCGAAAGCAUUUGCCAAGGAUGUUUUCAUUAAUCAGUGAACGAAAGUUAGGGGAUCGAAGACGAUCAGAUACCGUCGUAGUCUUAACCGUAAACUAUGCCGACUAGGGAUCGGGCGAUGUUCUUUUUCUGACUCGCUCGGCACCUUACGAGAAAUCAAAGUUUUUGGGUUCUGGGGGGAGUAUGGUCGCAAGGCUGAA